rnacentral:rRNA from 1 species
UGGUCCAGGUAGCUGCCUUCGCCAUGGAUGUUCCUCCUGAUCUCUACGCAUUUCACUGCUACACCAGGAAUUCCGCUACCCUCUACCACACUCUAGUCGCCCAGUAUCCACUGCAGUUCCCAGGUUGAGCCCAGGGCUUUCACAACGGACUUAAACGACCACCUACGCACGCUUUACGCCCAGUAAUUCCGAGUAACGCUUGCACCCUUCGUAUUACCGCGGCUGCUGGCACGAAGUUAGCCGGUGCUUAUUCUUUGGGUACCGUCAUCCCAACCGGGUAUUAGCCAGCUGGAUUUCUUUCCCAACAAAAGGGCUUUACAACCCGAAGGCCUUCUUCACCCACGCGGUAUGGCUGGAUCAGGCUUGCGCCCAUUGUCCAAUAUUCCCCACUGCUGCCUCCCGUAGGAGUCUGGACCGUGUCUCAGUUCCAGUGUGGCUGAUCAUCCUCUCAGACCAGCUACGGAUCGUCGCCUUGGUGGGCCUUUACCCCGCCAACUAGCUAAUCCGACAUCGGCUCAUUCAAUCGCGCAAGGUCCGAAGAUCCCCUGCUUUCACCCGUAGGUCGUAUGCGGUAUUAGCGUAAGUUUCCCUACGUUAUCCCCCACGACAGAGUAGAUUCCGAUGUAUUCCUCACCCGUCCGCCACUCGCCACCCAGAGAGCAAGCUCUCCUGUGCUGCCGUUCGACUUGCAUGUGUUAGGCCUACCGCC